ensembl:lncRNA
UUCUCGAUGUAGAUUCAUUUAUUAAAUUUUAAAAAAUAACAUAGAAGUCUCAGAGUCCAGACAAACAAAAGUCAGAACCCUUUUGUAUUAAAAUAUUCUGCUGUUUCAAUUUCUCUCUUUCUUUUGUUCUUUUUUACACCCCUUUAUUUUUAACCACUGACUCAGCCCUCCUCAGCAUCCAGGAUAUCAGUGUUAUGAAGUCCUCCUACAGUAUUUGUUUUACUUUUCAGUGUAGAAACAAUAACAUUAUUGAAGCGUGAUAUAAUUGCUGUCAAGCCUGACGCACCAACAGUCACCAAGUUUGUCUAUAAUUGCUAGCAAAGCACAGAGUUAUUUAUUUUUUUUAUAUAAAAUAUAGACAGUACUUUUCCAUUCUAGUGGGAACAUACUGGGAGGGAGGCACCAUAAGAUGACUGGAAAAAAGAAGCACUAUACUGGAACUCUAGCAGAAACUGCUAAAGGUCCUGGAUGUAGAUUCAAAGUGCCCGAAAGUUACAUUUUUCUCAAACAUCUUUGCUUUUCUUAUCUGGAGGGGUGAUCUAAAUAUUUGUUGCUUACAUCAGACGGAAAACUGACAGUUCGAUGGAGCGUCCGGUAUGUUGGAGCAGUUCUUCUGUAUGCUGUUUAUGACUACAGAAAUUAAUCACAUCCAUACAAUACGAGAGCUGGAGUCAGAGAGUGAUUGGGCGGUUUUGCUUGAUAAAUGGAGGAAGUAAUUAAAUUGUAGUAAAAGUUACUGCGGACUAAAUUACUGUCAACAGGCUGGAGCAGCGUAAAGGAUGCUGCGUUCUGUAUUCCAGGAAAAGAUUGAACAAUGCAAAACUAAACACAACAGCCUCAAUAAUUAUAAGGGAUACGUGGCAGAAGUGAUGGAGAGAUGGACGGAGGGAUGAUCCGAUCAGAAAGACGGAUGCGAGAUGGAUGGAUGAAAGAUGAAGGGAGGGCCGUCCUCAGAUCUGUUUUGACUUCUUGGUACAGCACCUUGAAUCUAUACCAGUCUGUUAAAGUAUGCUUUAGAAAUAAAUUUACCUUUGAAUGUAUUUUAUCGUUAUAUAUUUAUAUCUAUGUUACAAGAAGAGAAAAAAGUAUUUGUGGGUGAAAAUAUAGGACUGUGUAUAACUGUUCAGUGAAACAGUAACAUUUACUUGAAAUGAUAACAAAUAAAUAAUGAAAUCCAAACUUUAACUGAAUAAAACUCCAAUGCGUGGAAAAAUAGAAUGAUAAAAUUACUUUAAAAACAUGAUUUAUGUUGCAUCUGUUCUUCCUUUAAUGUGAGAGAGAAGCAGUAUUUCGAUUCUCCUGUAUGUCCUGUACAUGUAGCAAACUGACAAUAAAAAAGUUAUUUGGAUCUUUUGAUCUUAAAAUAUGAUUUCUUUCUUAGACUGAAGAAACUACUGCCUGACUGCAGGACCUGGAAAAUCAUUAACAGAGCAAGUCCUUAACUCUGGCUCCCUCUGGUAGCUGAAAAAGUGGACUACGCCCACACGGCUGACUGAGGAAAAGAAACCAGUUCUCCGAGGUGCACAUUUUAAAAUAAUUGUAUGAAACUUUAACUGUAACUGACCGAAAGCUUACCGAAAAAAAAAAAAAAAAAUCUCUCUAACACAUUCAGACUUUUGAAACCUGUUUAUUAAUCCACUGAUGCGUCUGCUCGUGGUUUCAAAAAGCGACUUCGAUACAACACAGCCAGCAUUUUUUACCUCAGGAUAGA